UACGUAGGUGGCAAGCGAUACUCGGAAUCACUGGGCGUAAAGCGCAGGUAGGCGGUUUGGUAAGUCUUUUGUGAAAGCUCCUGGCUCAACUGGGAGAGGUCAAGGGAAACUACCGGACUAGAGUGUGGUAGGGGAUACUGGAAUUCCUGGUGUAGCGGUGAAAUGCGUAGAUAUCAGGAGGAAUACCUAUGGCGAAAGCAGGUAUCUGGGCCAUCACUGACGCUGAGCUGCGAAAGCGUGGGGAGCAAACAGG
rnacentral:rRNA from 1 species